GCCGGGCUUCGGGUCUAUUGCUCACCGACGUGACGACGACGACCUAGAGAACGGCGGCGGCAGCGGCAAGUUCGGCGAGAAAUUGCGGCGGCGUGAGCGCGAGGUGGAGUGAGGGUGAGCAGGGGAAAUGGAGAGGGGAGAGCCCUCUUUAUAUUGGUGCGAGGGGGAUCUUAAAGCCGUGCUCUAAAUCGCGGAAUGAAGGCGAGGCAUAAAGACGGCGCUCGCAAGAUUCGCGGAUGGAGCUUGAAGACGACCUGACAGGUGGGUCCCACCUGUGAGUGUCCGUUGGCUUUGGGCGGCGGUGCUGGGCUAGGCUGGCUUGAUGCGCGCGCGCGGGGGCGGGCCGGGCCGGUCCGGUUUUAAUUUUUUUUUGUUCCUUUUCUUUUCUCCUUUUCUUUUUUGUUUUUCCUUUAUAUCUUUUGAUUUUGAACUCCAAAUGACCUCAAAUAAAUUUCAGAAAAUUUGUAAAAUCUUAUCCUUUAAUGCCAAAGCAUCUGGGACUUGGUUACCUCCAAAAGCAAAUUAUUUAGAAAUAGUUUUCCUUAAAUAGUUGCCUCUAGUGCAAUAAUAUUUAGGAAUAAAAUAGUUUUUCACCUCCAAAAUAAAUUUUAAAAAUUAUGGGGUAGCUUAUCUUAUUGCAUUAAACCCUUUUCUAUUGACAAAACCCCAUGGGUUGAAGAAUUCCAAAAAAAAAAAUGCAAAGGAAGACUAAAGCGGCAAAAGCUUACUAAUAAGAUUUUAAAUUUUGAAUCCUUGGUUUAAAAUGCUCAAAGUGCAUAGAUGGCAUGAUGCUCAUGAGUGCAAAUGCGUGAUGCAAAGUUCAGGAAAAUUGGGAUGUUACACAACAUAACAUCUGAUACUUCAAAUGUUGUCAUUGGCAUUUGCAAUAAUUAAAUUAAUGUGUUUCUUGGGCUCUAUUCAGAUAAACUUCUCAAAUUUACUUGCAGCGGAUUGAUCUCGUGACCUUUUAAUCUAAUUAUUUGAUUCAUGCUGUUACUAGCCGGUACAAUCUAUAUCUUGUCAUUUUUUAGAUUUCAGUUUUUUUUUCGAAAUGGAGGCAAAAGCUUUGCCUCAUCUCAUUAAUUAAGAAGAAGUUUCGCUUCCCGGUUAAUUAACGGAAAACCGGGCAAAAACCGUUUCAACGCUCCCAAGAUCCGUCACAGAUGACAAUCCUUAGGACACCACUAAGCCGACUUGCCUACCAAACAACGCACUCCACACGAGCUGUCGAGAAGAAAAACCGUCGUCAAGAUUGUUCGCAAUUGUCAUCGUCAUCACACAUCACUCCCCAAGCUGGCGACUCCGACUUCACCACAAAUGACCGUCGACGAAGCCCUCGCCGCGACAGUCGCUCGAAGCCCGCGUCGAUCUAUGCCAAACAAUUGGCCCACACACCGACGCCCAAGCAGAUAGCUGCACAUUGACCCCACCAAACACGAAGCACCGUCGCCACCAUGCCGCAAGAAACACUCAGCACGUCCACCACGGUGGCAUCGUCAUCGACACAGCCCUCAUAUCGGCGACUCCGACUUCACCACAAAUGGACACAGAAGAAGCUCCAUUGGCACUUC
rnacentral:lncRNA from 1 species